rnacentral:rRNA from 1 species
UGCAACUCGACUACAUGAAGCUGGAAUCGCUAGUAAUCGCGGAUCAGAAUGCCGCGGUGAAUACGUUCCCGGGUCUUGUACACACCGCCCGUCACACCAUGGGAGUCGGAAAUGCCCGAAGUCUGUGACCCAACCUUAGGGAGGGAGCAGCCGAAGGCAGGUCGGAUGACUGGGGUGAAGUCGUAACAAGGUAUC